rnacentral:SRP_RNA from 1 species
UGCCAGGCGCAGUGCAAUAACCGCUUGUGAAAUAUGUCAGGUCAGGAAUGAAGCAGCAUUAAGCAAGGCAGGUUAUGUGCAGCUGUAAGCCUGGCAUUU